AGAGUUUGAUCCUGGCUCAGAACGAACGCUGGCGGCAGGCCUCAAACAUGCAAGUCUAGGGGGUGUAGCAAUACAUCACCGGCGGACGGGUGCGUAACGCGUGGGAAUAUACCUAUUGGUUCGGAACAACUGAGGGAACUUCAGCUAAUACCGGAUACGUCCUUACGGAGAAAGAUUUAUCGCCAAUAGAUUAGCCCGCG
rnacentral:rRNA from 1 species